GACGAACGCUGGCGGCGUGCUUAACACAUGCAAGUCGAACGGAAAGGCCCUGCUUUUGUGGGGUGCUCGAGUGGCGAACGGGUGAGUAACACGUGAGUAACCUGCCAUUGACUUUGGGAUAACUUCAGGAAACUGGGGCUAAUACCGGAUAGGAGCUCCUGCUGCAUGGUGGGGGUUGGAAAGUUUCGGCGGUUGGGGAUGGACUCGCGGCUUAUCAGCUUGUUGGUGGGGUAGUGGCUUACCAAGGCUUUGACGGGUAGCCGGCCUGAGAGGGUGACCGGCCACAUUGGGACUGAGAUACGGCCCAGACUCCUACGGGAGGCAGCAGUGGGGUAUAGUGCACAAGGGGCGGAAGCCUGAUGCAGCAACGCCGCGUGCGGGAUGACGGCCUUCGGUUUGUAAUCCGCUUUCGCCUGUGACGAAGCGUGAGUGACGGUAAUGGGUAAAGAAGCACCGGCUAACUACGUG
rnacentral:rRNA from 1 species